UACGAAGGGGGCUAGCGUUGUUCGGAAUCACUGGGCGUAAAGGGCGCGUAGGCGGCUUUGUAAGUCGGGGGUGAAAGCCUGUGGCUCAACCACAGAAUUGCCUUCGAUACUGCAUGGCUUGAGACCGGAAGAGGUAAGUGGAACUGCGAGUGUAGAGGUGAAAUUCGUAGAUAUUCGCAAGAACACCAGUGGCGAAGGCGGCUUACUGGUCCGGUUCUGACGCUGAGGCGCGAAAGCUAGGGGAGCAAACAGG
rnacentral:rRNA from 1 species